rnacentral:rRNA from 1 species
ACGGAAGGCAGCAGUGGGGGAUAUUGCACAAUGGGGGAAACCCUGAUGCAGCGACGCCGCGUGAGCGAAGAAGUGCUUCGGCAUGUAAAGCUCUAUCAGCAGGGAAGAAAAUGACGGUACCUGACUAAGAAGCCCCGGCUAACUACGUGCCAGCAGCCGCGGUAAUACGUAGGGGGCAAGCGUUAUCCGGAUUCACUGGGUGUAAAGGGAGCGUAGACGGCAACGCAAGUCUGAUGUGAAAACCCGCGGCUCAACCGCGGGAUUGCAUUGGAAACUGUGUAGCUUGAGUACUGGAGGGGCAGGCGGAAUUCCUGGUGUAGCGGUGGAAUGCGUAGAUAUCAGGAGGAACACCGGUGGCGAAGGCGGCUUACUGGACUGUAACUGACGUUGAGGCUCGAAGGCGUGGGGAGCAAACAGGAUUAGAUACCCUGGUA